UACGGGGGGUGCGAGCGUUGUCCGGAAUCACUGGGCGUAAAGGGCGCGUAGGUGGCAUGAUAAGGGUGUGGUGAAAGCCCGGGGCUCAACCCCGGGUCUGCCAUGCCGACUGUCACGCUAGAGUACUGUAGGGGGAUGCGGAAUUCCGGGUGUAGUGGUGGAAUGCGUAGAUAUCGAGAGGAACACCUGCGGCGAAGGCGGGUUGCUGGGCUGACACUGACGCUGGAAGCGCGAAAGCUAGGGGAGCGAACGGG
rnacentral:rRNA from 1 species